GACGCCAGUCUGCAUGGAGCCGACCUUGAAAUACCACCCUUUAAUGUUUGAUGUUCUAACGUGGACCCGUAAUCCGGGUUGCGGACAGUGUCUGGUGGGUAGUUUGACUGGGGCGGUCUCCUCCUAAAGAGUAACGGAGGAGCACGAAGGUUGGCUAAUCCUGGUCGGACAUCAGGAGGUUAGUGCAAUGGCAUAAGCCAGCUUGACUGCGAGCGUGACGGCGCGAGCAGGUGCGAAAGCAGGUCAUAGUGAUCCGGUGGUUCUGAAUGGAAGGGCCAUCGCUCAACGGAUAAAAGGUACUCCGGGGAUAACAGGCUGAUACCGCCCAAGAGUUCAUAUCGACGGCGGUGUUUGGCACCUCGAUGUCGGCUCAUCACAUCCUGGGGCUGAAGUAGGUCCCAAGGGUAUGGCUGUUCGCCAUUUAAAGUGGUACGCGAGCUGGGUUUAGAACGUCGUGAGACAGUUCGGUCCCUA
rnacentral:rRNA from 1 species